ensembl:lncRNA
GUGUUGCGAGGCAACCGAAUCCCCAUGAAACUUAUUCCCAUGAAAGUAAUUCACGUCAGAACAGAGAGGCGUGGAUCCUGCAGGGCUGGAGUGUACACUAAUAUCGUGAAAGCUGUUUUGAUUGACAGCACAGUGGCCCAGUUUGGGUCGCCUCGAAUGUGGGUCACAGAUAAUAACAAGCUGGAAGUCUUAAAGAAUUUGGUUGUCAUAUAGUAAAUUCAUUUAUAAUGAUGUGAGGCUAUUAAUUAACCUUUAUUAUUAAUCAUUAGCAUCAUUUUAAUUAGGAGUAUUGCAGGUUUUUCCUGAGGUAAAAUCUAAAAAGGGGCACAGCUGUCAUUCUAGUGAAGGAGAGGAGGCAUGGCCUAUGUACCUGUCAGUCCUUGUGCAGGAGGCGUGGCCUGUGUGCCUGUCAGUCCCGAUUAAAGGAGGCAUGGCCUUUGUAAAUGGUAAAUGGUCUGCACUUAUAUAGCGCUUUUAUCCAAAGCGCUUUACACUGUGUCUCAUUCACCCAUUCUCACACACACUCACACACCAGUGGUAGCAGAGCUGCCACGCAAGGCGCUAACUUGCCAUCGGGAGCAACUUGGGGUUCGGCACUUCGGUAUGUGGAGUCACGUGGGCCGGGAAUCGAACCGCCAACCCCACGGUUAGUGGACAACCCGCUGAACCACAACCGCCCCAAUUUGUAAUUUGUGUAUUACAGUCACAUUAAAGGAGGUGUGGCCUUUGUGCAUUAUAGUCACACCAGAGGAGGCGUGGCCUUUGUGUAUUACAGUCACAUUAAAGGAGGCGUGGCCUCUGUGUAUUAUCGUUACAUUGAAGAAGGUAUGUCCUUUGUGUAUAAUAGUCACACUGAAGGAGGCGUGGCCUCUGUGUAUUACAGGCAUACUGAAGGAGGCGUGGCCUUUGUGUAUUACUGUCACACUGAAGGAGGCGUGGCCGCUGUACCUGUUCGUCCUUGUGAAAGAGGCGUGGUCUCGAUCAGUCCUCGUGAAGGAGAUGCGACCUGUGUGAUGGGCUGUUCCACUACAUGGCCUAUAUGCCGGUCAAAUACAAGUGAAGGAAGUGUGUCCUCCAUCUCCUUAGACCAAAAAAAUGAUGGUUUUCAAAAUCCUGUCACCUCAUAUAGGAUCGAAACCAGAUCAUGUGAAAU